CACUGGAAUACUGACUGCCUUUCAUCGCCUAGACAAAGACAGGACAGCCUUCCCAAAUUCCUGUUUCACAAAAAGUCUGUCAGGGCCUGGCAGCCAAAGACUGAUGCCCCACUGAUCACAGAGGAACCUGGGCAUGAAAUAGCUGUGUGGGUUCCAGUACUCCAAUCCACAAGUCAGAAGGACUCCAGACAAGUACUGUCAAUCAGCAGCCUGUUUCCUUACCUGCGCAUUCCAAAGGGUACAUUCGCCAAGUUUGGGUGUUACCCCCAAAUCUGCUGGGUCCAAAGCAGCUAGACCCCAAGUGACCAUGCAGAACCAGAGAACAUUGGACAUCCUCAAGGAAGACAGGGAGGCACCUGCAUGUUAAUGGAAGAAGAAUACUAUUACUAAAUCAAUGACGCUGGCCUGGUGAAAACUAAUAUCGGGUCUCUCCACAAAUUGUCUGAUGAACGCCGCCAAUACAACUAGGGCACAUCUCCAUUCCACUCCUUCUGACAGUCUUUGCUCUUCACAUGAUGUCUUAGUUAAAUCUUCCAUUGCUGAGAACAGACACCAUGACCUAGGCAACUCUUAUUAAGGACAAUAUUUAAUUGGGGCUGGCUUACAGACAGGUUCAGUCCAUUGCCUUUGAAACAGAAAGCAUGGCUGUACCCAGGCAGGCAUGGUGGGGGAGGAGCUGAGAGUUCUGUAUCUUGUUCUGAGGGCAAACAGGAGAAGUCUGGUUUCCAGAAAGCUAGGAGGAGAGGGUCUCAAAGUCCGUC